CACACGCUCUACACGGAGGUAGAAUUCCCAUCCCACCGAAUCCAUCCUUUCCACGGGGCACAAGCCAGUGGCCUUCGGGAGUCUCUCUCCCCAAGGUGGCGCAUCCGUCAUGGCUAUCUAUUUCCAGAAGGUUUCCGUUUCCAUCCCCUCCCCCCGAAAGAAAAAACGGCCCCACUCCCGGAUCUGCCCCACCACGAUCACCACCACCGCUGCCGCCGCCGCCGCCGCCGCCAUCUGCUGUCGCCCUCUAGGGUUGGACCGUUCUAGCUCUCUCCUCUGUGUGGAAUCGCAACGUCUUAGGGCUGUCGUGCUCCGCAGCCGUCACGUGUCGUGGAUCCUGGGCACCACCACGCCACCCCGCC
rnacentral:lncRNA from 1 species